GACGAACGCUGGCGGCGUGCCUAAUACAUGCAAGUCGAACGCACAGUUUAUACCGUAGCUUGCUACACCAUAGACUGUGAGUUGCGAACGGGUGAGUAACGCGUAGGUAACCUGCCUGGUAGCGGGGGAUAACUAUUGGAAACGAUAGCUAAUACCGCAUAAUAUUAAUUAUUGCAUGAUAAUUAAUUGAAAGGUGCAAUUGCACCACUACCAGAUGGACCUGCGUUGUAUUAGCUAGUAGGUGAGGUAACGGCUCACCUAGGCGAAGAUACAUAUCCGACCGGGGAGGGUGAUCGGCCAAAAUGGGACGGAGAAACGGCCCAGAAUACUACGGGAGGCAGCAGUAGGGAAUCGUCGGAAAUGGACGAAAGUCAGAACGAGAAACGCCGCGGGAGGGAAGAAGGGUGUCGGAUCGUAAAGCUCUGUUGUAAGAGAAGAACGGGUGUGAGAGUGGAAAGUUCACACUGUGACGGUAUCUGACCAGAAAGGGACGGCUAACUACGUG
rnacentral:rRNA from 1 species